ACCAGCAGCGAUAUCACCCUGCAGCUGGCAACCCAGCAGGUGUGAGCCUGGUCAGUACCUGGAUGGGAGACCUCCUGGGAUAAACUAAGGUUGCUGCCGGAA
rnacentral:rRNA from 1 species